AGCUCUGGCUGUGGCUGACAGAGGCUGAGCAGACAUUGGGUUUGCCUAUAACAAAUGAACAAAUCCAGGAGAUGAAAUCAAACUUGGACAACAUGGACUUCAAGAUGACAGCUGAAGAAGAGAAGCAGUUGCGACAUGAUGUUAUGGCUCAUGUACAUACAUUUGGCCACUGCUGUCCAAAAGCUGCAGGCAUUAUUCACCUGGAUGCCACCUCCUGCUAUGUUAGAGACAACACAGACUUGAUUAUUCUUAGAAAUGCUUUUGACCUGCUUUGGCUGAAGCUUGCCAGAGUGAUCUCUCGGCUUGCCGACUUUGCUAAGGAACAUGCCAAUCUUCCUACCUUAGGUUUUACACAUUUCCAGCCUGCCCAACUGACCACAGUUGGAAAAUGUUGCUGUCUUUGGAUUCAAGGUCUUUGCAUGGAUCUCCAGAACUUGCGCUUCCGUGGAGUGAAAGGCACCACUGGCACUCAGGCUAGUUUCUUGCAGCUCUUUGAGGGAGAUCACCAAAAGGUGGAACAGCUGGACAAGUUGGUGUCAGAAAAGGCAGGGUUCAAGAGGGCUUUUAUCAUCCCAGGGCAGACGUACUCACGAAAAGUAGACAUCGAGGUGUUGUCCGUGCUGGCUAGCUUGGGAGUAUCAGGGCACAAUAUUUGCACUGACAUACACCUCCUGGAAAAUCUCAAGGAGACAGAGGAACUCUUUGAAAAUCAGCAGAUUGGCUCGAGUGCAAUGCCAUACAAGAGGAACCCCAUGCGCUCAGAACGCUGCUGCAGCCUUGCCCGUCACCUGAUGACCCUUCUCAUGGAUCCACUGCAGACAGCUUCUGUGCAGUGGUUUGAACGCACACUGGAUGAUAGUGCCAACCGCCGAAUCUGUUUGGCUGAGGUAUUUCAUAGGCAGAUACUAUAUUGAACACACUAUAAAACAUUUCUGAAGGACUGGUGGUGUACCCCAAAGUCAUUGAAUGACGCAAUAGGCAGGAACUGCCUUUCAUGAUUACAGAGAACAUCAUCAUGGCCAUGGUCAAAGCUGGGGGUAGCCACCAGGAUCGCCAUGAGAAAAUUAGAGUGCUUUCCCAGCAAGCAGCUGAUGUUGUGAAGCAGGAAGGGGAUGACAAUGACCUCAUAGAACGAAUCCAGUCUGAUGCCUACUUGAGUCCCCUUCACCCCAGUUGCAGCAUUUACUGGAUCCUUCUUCUUCCAUUGGCCGUGCCCCCCCACAGGAACAAAGAUUCUUAGAAGAGGAGGUAUAUCCCCUGUUAAAACCAUAUUACGUCUGUAGAGUUGGAAGAGAAUUAAAUGAAAAAUCAUUGCUGGUUUGUUAA